rnacentral:lncRNA from 1 species
AAAAUGUCAAAUUAAAAAGGUAUUUAUUUUAGAUUUCAUUCGAUAUUUCUUAUUUUAUUACUUUUUUCUUCUUUUCUUCUUUAAUUCUGUUUGUUUUCCCUAUGUAUAUAAUAUUGCUAUAACAUAAACAUGAUAAAUUAGUGAAAUUGUCAAAGUAUAUAAAUUUCUACUUUCGUUCUCGUGCAAGGUAUUUGUCUUUGUUUUAUCAGCAACCCUUAUAAUGUGGUCUUUUUCUUGGUCUUUUUACAACAGGCAGUACAAACCUUUUCUCUGGAUAUUUGUACGGACAUGCCCCCCCCCCCCCUUUCAUACAUGUUUCAUCAAUAUCGGUCGUGCAUAUAUUUGGAUAUAUAUCCUUUUUUUCCGUUUAAUUCACGUAGAAAUCAGUUGAGGUUCAAUCACUACAGGAAUUAGCGCAUGAGUAUCAUUCCAUAAACUAAAGAUAUAAAAUAAGGAAAUUCAGAUACAUGCCAAAACGAAUGCUUUUUUUUUGUCUCACUUAGGGGCAUUAGGUUUUUCUGUACGUGCGUCCGUUCGUUUAUCCGUCCGUCCGUUCGUUCGUCCGUCCGUCCGUCUGUCCCGCUUCAUGUUUAAGUCUUUGGUUAAAGUUUUUUGUCAAGGUAGUUUUUGAUGAAGGUGAACUCUAAAUUAGAGUUUUGGCCCAAAUUUUAAGGUCCACGAACAUAAAAAAUGAUUGUGCGAUUGAGGCACCCGUAGACUAUGAACAACACCUUGUUUUGCUAUAUUCUUAUGUUGGUUCCUCUAUAAGAAGAACCCGACAAAACUGCACCUUGAAGCAGGGCUCUGUCAUCACAUACAAUGUGCUACAAGGAAAGCAUAGCCAUACUAUCUAUUCGAUUCGAUCAUUAACUUUUAUGAGGGGCCCAAAUAGCUAAACAAUAUUACAAGCAGUAUCUAUAUUCAACGGUAUAGGGCCUAUUGGGCCAUAUAGCUCUUCAACUGUUUAGGUCAUUAUAUACAGCCUUGACUUUCAAAUAUUCGGCUUUGAAUGUGAAGGUGAAUCCAGGAAUUUAAAGUACACAUUUGUUAUAAUAGUAGUCUCAGCUCGGUCUCAUGAAAUUUAUAAUGUGUUUCAUAUUUUAUAGAAAUUGAAGUAAGAUUUGUUUUAAUAAAAUCUAUUUCUGAACAAGAAACUUUGUAUUUUUAUACAAUUAUAGCUUUCAACUUAUUUGGGUUUAACCUUCCUGUACCUCUGAUUGUUCGUACGGGGUUAAGAGAAUGGAGAAUGAAUUUAUGUGUCAUGGUGUAAAUUUCUCUGAUUUUUUUUCACAACUUUUUAAUACUGUUUUAUGUUGUUACAAUCUUUCUGAAUUUUAAUCGUAAUCUGCUUGAAGUUUGAUAAGUAGAAUAAAACUUAAAAAGUCAAUGUCAUUUUGAGAUAAAGGAUUAGACUUAAUUAAUACUUUUGAAUAGACCAAAAUGUGUCAAAUGUUUACUAAUUAGUGUCAUUCUAUAUUCGAGCAAUUCGACAUUUGAUAUAAGAAGAGACAAAAAGAAAAUAUAGUCAGCGAGGAUUACCGAACGAUACAAUAUGGAUGACCCCGUAUUGCUACAUUUAGGGACUAUCUAGAGGACUUUGCCCUUUUAAUAUUUUUAUGUAAUUAUAUUGAUUUAUUUUAGAUUCAACAAUUAAUAGAACAUUGAAAAUACAACCCAUGUAUUUCUUAUUCAUUCGUUAGUUCCCUCGUGAUGUAAAAUCACAAUAUGUCAGACUCCGAGAAAUUAAGAGUUUUGUAACAGGAAAUUUUUUAAAUGACCAUAUAAUUGAUAUUCAUGUUAACACCGAAGUGCUGACUAUUGGGCUGAUGAUACCCUCGGUGACGAAACGUCCACUAGCAGUGGCAUCGACCCAGUGGUGUAAAUAGUAUAAUUGUUAUUCAUAUAUUGAUAUUUAUUUGCAGAUUUUUGUAUGUAAUGGCGACAUCCUCUCAAAACUGUGGUGUUUGUGACGCACGCCACAUCAACAAACCAUCUACAAUCUGGUGCACAGAAUGUGACGAGGGACUAUGUACAGAAUGCCAGGAACAUCACAGUUUGUCCAAAGGAACCAGAAACCAUAAAGUGAUACCAAUCAUUGAAUACAAGCAAUUACCAGCUGAUGUACUAAAGAUUAGUCAAAUCUGUAGCAAACACAAUCAAAAGUUUCAAAUCUAUUGCCAGAUGCAUGAAUGUCCCUGUUGCAGCAGGUGUGUUGUAGAAAGCCAUAAAGAUUGCCAUGAUAUCGUUAAUCUAGAUGACGUCAUUCUUAAUUCAAAAACAUCGAAUGCCUUGUCCGAGAUAGAAGAUUCGUUAGUUGAAGUAGCAGAAAACAUUAAAAAAAUUCGUGAGAACCAACAGGAUAAUCUUUCAACUUUGAUAGAAAGGAGAAAGGAAAUUGAAGAAGAAAUCGAGAAGACCAGAAUAAAGAUCAACAAUCGUCUUGACAAAUUACAAAAAGAUUUAAUAAAACAACUGAAUGCGUACGAAAAUAAAGAAAACUCGAAAAUUCGUCAGUUACUAUCGUCAUUGGAAAAGAAGGAAAAGGAAGUUGCCGAUUGUCAGCGAAACAUUGGAAACAUCAAACAAUACGGAACGCACCUUCAGAUGUUUCUUUCAAUGAAGCCUAUAAAAGAGGACAUCUCUAGUAAAGAAAAGUUCCUGCACUCACUUUUCCAAGGUGAGGAUUUGAACCAGAAUUCUCUAGAGUAUAACAUAAACGGUGCUAUUCAGAAUAUCAUGUCAAAUGUAACUAGUUUUGGAGAAGUAUAUAUUGAAGCUAAACCUUGCGAUCUUGUCCUGAGUAGAAAGAAUACUAAACAAGCCCAGAUAAUGGUACCAACCGUUCAAGCAAGAUCCAUUGAAGAUAUACAGCUGCGUAUAAACAAGACAAUAAACACACAAGGACAACGCGUUUACGGAUGUUGCAUGCUGCUGGAUGGUAGAUUGGUAUUUACUUUUCGCGAUGAAAGCACAGUAAAAGUCUUCAACAUGGAGGGAUCAAAAGAUUUUGAGAUGGAGAUACCGUGUGGAGUAUUUCAUAUAGUAAACAUAGGCGAUACCAAUACAUUGGUUGUUACAUCCGGGGAAUCAGAUAAGCAAUGUCUUUCCAUUAUAGACCUGGAGAGGAAACUAAUCACGAAAACAAUUGCACUGGAUUCUCAGAAUUAUGGCAUGGUAUUGAAAGACAAUCAGUUGAUUUAUUCCGCUUACAACAAAGGCAUACGAAUGAUAAAUCUGUAUGACGAGUCUUCGAGCGACAUAGUCCAAGAAGAGAUGGCCACUGAAGGUUACCUAGCAACAUUCAAAGACAACAUUUAUCAUACAAACAGACUAGCACACACUGUUACAUGUUAUAACCUUCAAGGUGGAAUACAAUGGACCUUUCAAAAUGAAGGCGUUCUGGAUAAUCCUCUAGGGGUCGCUGUAGAUAAUGAUGGUUAUGUGUAUGUGGUGGGGUUUUGGAAGAACAAUCUUGUAGUUAUUUCCCCUGACGGACAACAACACAGAGAAGUGUUGACAGAAAGGGAUGGUCUGUAUAAUCCCGUCUCUCUUCAUUAUUGCGGACUAAAGAAGCAGUUGCUAGUAGCCAACUGGAAUGACCAGGCUCACUUGUUUGAUUUUAUUUGAACAAUUGAAAUUAGGAAAUUUCUCUCUUUUAAAUCAGAGCGAAAUUUUUCGAUAUCAAUUUAAUAUUAUGCACCUUUAUCGUUUGUUUUAUAAAUUGUAUGUUAAGUAUGAUUAAAAGUAUAUUCG